ACAGCAGUAGCCACGGUAAUACGUAGGUGGCAAGCGUUGUCCGGAAUUAUUGGGCGUAAAGCGCGCGCAGGCGGAUCAGUUAGUCUGUCUUAAAAGUUCGGGGCUUAACCCCGUGAUGGGAUGGAAACUGCUGAUCUAGAGUAUCGGAGAGGAAAGUGGAAUUCCUAGUGUAGCGGUGAAAUGCGUAGAUAUUAGGAAGAACACCAGUGGCGAAGGCGACUUUCUGGACGAAAACUGACGCUGAGGCGCGAAAGCCAGGGGAGCGAACGGGAUUAGAGACCCCAGUAGUCCCUGUCUCUUAUACA
rnacentral:rRNA from 1 species